rnacentral:rRNA from 2 species
UCGAAGCUACGCGAAGAACCUUACCAGGUCUUGACAUCUUGCGCCAACCCUAGAGAUAGGGCGUUUCCUUCGGGAACGCAAUGACAGGUGGUGCAUGGUCGUCGUCAGCUCGUGUCGUGAGAUGUUGGGUUAAGUCCCGCAACGAGCGCAACCCUUGUUACUAGUUGCCAGCAUUAAGUUGGGCACUCUAGUGAGACUGCCGGUGACAAACCGGAGGAAGGUGGGGACGACGUCAGAUCAUCAUGCCCCUUAUGACCUGGGCUACACACGUGCUACAAUGGACGGUACAACGAGUCGCGAACUCGCGAGG